AGUGAACGCUGGCGGUAGGCCUAACACAUGCGAGUCGAACGGCAGCACAGUAAGAGCUUGCUCUUACGGGUGGCGAGUGGCGGACGGGUGCGGAAUACAUCGGAAUCUACUUUUUCGUGGGGGAUAACGUAGGGAAACUUACGCUAAUACCGCAUACGACCUACGGGUGAAAGCAGGGGAUCUUCGGACCUUGCGCGAUUGAAUGAGCCGAUGUCGGAUUAGCUAGUUGGCGGGGUAAAGGCCCACCAAGGCGACGAUCCGUAGCUGGUCUGAGAGGAUGAUCAGCCACACUGGAACUGAGACACGGUCCAGACUCCUACGGGAGGCAGCAGUGGGGAAUAUUGGACAAUGGGCGCAAGCCUGAUCCAGCCAUACCGCGUGGGUGAAGAAGGCCUUCGGGUUGUAAAGCCCUUUUGUUGGGAAAGAAAAGCAGCAGGUUAAUACCCCGCUGUUCUGACGGUACCCAAAGAAUAAGCACCGGCUAACUUCGUG
rnacentral:rRNA from 1 species